rnacentral:rRNA from 1 species
AUCACCACACUACUCUGAAUACACUCAGUCUCAUCUGAUUUUGAAAGUUAAGCAGAGUCAGGCCAGGUCAGUAUUCAGAUGGGAGACCAUCCUAUAACACCGGGGAUC